UACAGAGGUCUCAAGCGUUGUUCGGAUUCAUUGGGCGUAAAGGGUGCGUAGGCGGCGAGGUAAGUCGGAUGUGAAAUCCCGGGGCUCAACCCUGGAAAGCCGGUGGAUACUAUCGGGCUCGAGUCCGGAAGAGGCGAGUGGAAUUCCUGGUGUAGCGGUGGAAUGCGCAGAUAUCAGGAGGAACACCAAUGGCGAAGGCAGCUCGCUGGGACGGAACUGACGCUAAGGCGCGAAAGCGUGGGGAGCGAACAGG
rnacentral:rRNA from 1 species